rnacentral:rRNA from 1 species
AUCUUUAAAAUUAAAAAAUUUGGCGGUAUUUUAGUCUAUUCAGAGGAACCUGUUUUUUAAUCGAUAAUCCACGAUAAGUUUUACUUUAAUUAUUAGCUUGUAUAUCGUCGUAGCUUGAAUAUUCUUGGAAUAAUAUUUUCAGAUCAAGGUGCAGUUUAUAUUAAAGUUAAAAUGGGUUACAUUAAAAAUCAAGGAUAAAUUGGAUUUGAAUGUAAGCUCUAAAAUAUGUACAUAUCGCCCGUCGCUUUCAUUUAAAAUGGAAUAAGUCGUAACAAAGUAGGCUUAUUGGAAAAUGAGCCUAGAAUGCAAAUUAGAGCUUGUUAAGUAUUUUAUUUACAUUAAAAUGGAAAUUGUGAAAAUCAAUUUAAUUUGAAUUUAAAAAUUUAAUAUUUAUUUUUGGUUUAAUUAUUUAAUUGAAAAAUCUUAUAUUUUAUUCUGUUAAGGAAAAAAUAUAUUUAUAGAUUAAAGUAUAGUGAUAGAAAAUUUAUGAAUUAAGAAAAGAAGAAUUAAUUUUUUGUACCUUGUGUGUCAGGGUUUACUAAUUUGGUUUUCCCGAAUUAUAAAGAGCUACUUUUAUUGUUUCAUAAAUAUUGAUAAUAUGCUAGUCGAAAUGAAACGUUAUUCGUUUUAUAAUAUAUCUGGUUUUCUAGGAAAUAAAUUUAAUCUAAUGAUUUUUCAAUGGGAUAAGCUUUAUACUAAAUUUUUAUAAUUUAUUAAAUUUUAAAGAUAGAGAGGAUUAGAAUUUUCCGUUCUUUAAGGAUGUUAUAAUUUAAAUGUUUAAUUUUUAUACUAGAAUAAAAUUUUUAAUUUUUAAUAUUUUGAAAUAAUGGUUAAAUUAGUAAGAUUAUAACAAGGAACUCGGCAAUAAUAUUUCUUACCUGUUUAAUAAAAACAUGUCUUUUUGAUUAUUAUUUAAGGUCUGGCCUGCUCAAUGAUUAAAUAGCUGCAGUAUCUUGACUGUACAAAGGUAGCAUAAUCAUUAGUUUCUUAAUUGGAAGCUGGAAUGAAUGGUUGAAUAAGGAAAUAACUGUCUCUUGAAUUUUAUUUUUAAGUUAAAAAGCUUAAAUUUUAUAGAAAGACGAGAAGACCCUAUAGAGUUUUUUUAUUGGGGUGAUAACAGAAUUUAAUAAACUUCUUUUUUUUAUGAAUAGAUGAUCCUAGAUUAAAAGAAUAAAUUACCUUAGGGAUAACAGCGUAAUUCUUUUGGAGAGUUCUUAUCA